ACGAUCAGAUGUGUACAUGUGUC
rnacentral:siRNA from 1 species